rnacentral:rRNA from 1 species
AAAUCGGAAGUACGCUCUACACCCUUUGUGACAUACCUAUAACUGUUGCUUCGGCGGGCAGGGUCUCCGUGACCCUCCCGGCCUCCCGCCCCCGGGCGGGUCGGCGCCCGCCGGAGGAUAACCAAACUCUGAUUUAACGACGUUUCUUCUGAGUGGUACAAGCAAAUAAUCAAAACUUUUAACAACGGAUCUCUUGGUUCUGGCAUCGAUGAAGAACGCAGCGAAAUGCGAUAAGUAAUGUGAAUUGCAGAAUUCAGUGAAUCAUCGAAUCUUUGAACGCACAUUGCGCCCGCCAGCAUUCUGGCGGGCAUGCCUGUUCGAGCGUCAUUUCAACCCUCAAGCUCUGCUUGGUGUUGGGGCCCUACAGCUGAUGUAGGCCCUCAAAGGUAGUGGCGGACCCUCCCGGAGCCUCCUUUGCGUAGUAACUUUACGUCUCGCACUGGGAUCCGGAGGGACUCUUGCCGUAAAACCCCCAAUUUUCCAAAGGUUGACCUCGGAUCAGGUAGGAAUACCCGCUGAACUUAAGCAUAUCAAUAAGCGGAAGAAC